GACGAACGCUGGCGGCGUGCUUAACACAUGCAAGUCGAACGGAAAGGCCCUGCUUUUGUGGGGUGCUCGAUUGGCGAACGGGUGAGUAACACGUGAGUAACCUGCCCUUGACUUUGGGAUAACUUCAGGAAACUGGGGCUAAUACCGGAUAGGAGCUCCUGCUGCGUGGUGUGGGUUGGUAAGUUGCGGCUGUUGGGGAUGGACUCGAGGGUUAUCAGCUGGUUUGUGUGGUAGUGGCUUACCAAGGCUUUGACGGGUAGCCGGCCUGAGAGGGUGACCGGGGACAAGGGGACUGAGAGAGGGAGCAGAAGGGUACGGGAGGCAGAAGGGGGGAGUAUUGCAGAAUGGGCGGACGCGUGAUGUAGCAACGCCGGGUGCGGGAAGACGGCUUUCGGGGUGUGAACAGCUUUCGACUGAGACGAAGCGGGAGUGACGGUAACUGGUAAGGAAGCAACGGCUAACUACGUG
rnacentral:rRNA from 1 species